UACAGAGGUCCCGAGCGUUGUUCGGAUUCACUGGGCGUAAAGGGUGCGCAGGUGGGUUUGCAAGUUCGAUGUGAAAGCCCCCGGGCUCAACCCGGGAAAUGGCAUUGGAUACUGCAGAUCUGGAGGAUCGGAGGGGGGGACUGGAAUUCUUGGUGUAGCAGUGAAAUGCGUAGAUAUCAAGAGGAACGCCAGUGGCGAAGGCGGCUACCUGGACAGAAACUGACGCUGAGGCACGAAAGCUAGGGGAGCAAACAGG
rnacentral:rRNA from 1 species